UCCUACGGGAGGCAGCAGUGGGGAAUAUUGCACAAUGGGGGGAACCCUGAUGCAGCGACGCCGCGUGAGUGAAGAAGUAUUUCGGUAUGUAAAGCUCUAUCAGCAGGGAAGAAGAUGACGGUACCUGACUAAGAAGCCCCGGCUAACUACGUGCCAGCAGCCGCGGUAGUACGUAGGGGGCAAGCGUUGUCCGGAUUUACUGGGUGUAAAGGGCGUGCAGCCGGGCUGACAAGUCAGAUGUGAAAUCCCGUGGCUCAACCACGGAACUGCAUUUGAAACUGUCGGUCUUGAGUAUCGGAGAGGCA
rnacentral:rRNA from 1 species